rfam:Schistosoma rodhaini strain Burundi genome assembly, scaffold: SROB_scaffold0002449
GCACUGCUGAAGAGUCCCACAAUGGGAUGAAACGGCCGUCCAGUGC